GAGAGAGAGAGAGAGAGAGAGAGAGAGAGAGAGGGAGGAGGAAGAGGAGGAGGAGAGUGUGUGAGAGAGAUUAUAUGUGUGUGUGUAUGAGAGAGAGAGAGAGAGAGAGAGAGAGGAGAGUGUGAGAGAAAGAGAGCUUGUGUGUGAGAGUGUGUAUGUGUGUGUGAGUGUGUGAAAGUCAUAUAGAUAGAUAAAUAGAUAAUUAGACAAAUAGUUAGAUAGAUUAAUAGGUAGAUAUCAGGAUAGAUAGAUAGAUAGAUUAAAAUAGUAGGUAGAAGAGGUUUAUUGAUUUCAGGGUAGGACUUAGGAGGGUAAAGCCUCCAAGGCAAGAGGACAUGGGUUCCCAAAGCCUGAAUUCCACCUUUCUAAAAGUCAGGAGACUUUCAUUAAUUUCCAGUAAUGAAAGAUUACUUGGACAAACCUCUGGAUUGGCCACUGGGUCGAGGUUGGUAACCCAGGAGGUUAAUGACCUCAGGGUCAUCCCAGGAAGUAGACCGGAUCUGGAUGAUCAUCAGCCUCAGCGUAGCCUGGCAGAGCUGCCUAGCACUGCUCAUGGCAAGAGGAAGCCAGGCCAUCUUCCACGCCUUAGAAGCAGUGCUGUCAAGGGCCAUGCCCCUGACCCUAAUCCAAGCUUGUCUAUAGUCUCCAAAAGAAUCUUUAAGGGUGAAUCUGUUAUCGAAGGCCCUGAGGACAGGCAGACAUUUGUUGGGCCCAGUGGCUUGCCAAAGAUUAGCCCCAAAGCAACAGCAGGGGAGGCCCAAGGGAAGAAGAGGACAAUGGAGUUGCUUAACAAGGCUCAAAAGCAAGAAGAAAAAGUCUCAAACCUACUAGAUAUCAGACAGCUCCCGAAGCAAGAGGUGUUUAUUAACAACACACACCCAUGCAAGAAACAUCUGAAACAGCAACCAAUGAGCCUUGAGGAAUGGAGGAGGGGCCGUCUAGGGGGAGACAACACAGGACUCAUAAUAUCACAAGAACCUUUCAGGUGCUGUGAAAGUCUUGCCCUAGAAGAAAACACCUUUUUGAAGGGCAAGAAGAUCAAGCCCUAUUGUAGGCAUUCAGACCAGAUAGCAUGUCCGCUAUUAGUCGAAGAGCAGGGGCCUGGAGAAGGGCAGAAGCCAGUGUCUUCAGGCCAACAGGGACUGAAAGCCACAAAAACAUCCAAAGGAAAGAUGUCAACUGUUGCCAAUGUCAAUGCCAAUGUCAACUGUUGGAAGUAACUUCCCUAGAGGCAGAAGCCAGCCUGGAGGUCCUCAAGAGGAGGAGGAGGAUGCAGGCUAUGGAGAUGUCCAAAAAACCUCAGGACAGAGGACUUGGUCGAGAAAAAGCAGUCUUCCUAAGCAGAGAGAAAGUAAAACCAUCUUCUCAUGACAUGCAUCUGAGCCCUGCUGAAAGAAGCUUUAAACCUAAAUCAAUGCCAAAGGCAGAAGACUGGGACCACUCAGUCCAGGGAACUCCAGUAGUGCUUACUGUUCGGGACCACAGCAAUGUCUCACAGGCUCAGAAACAUAUGGGCUGUGCUGAAAUAUUUCAUUCCAGAGAUGGGCGAUGUACUUUAUUGAAGAGAGGAGGAGCCUAGAGAGAGUAGAGACUUUCUCUGCAUCCUGCUCAGUGAGCAUCUCUGCUCCCUCCCAUCACUCCUACCAAGACCCAGAGAAAACUGAGGCAGAUGGAUGUUUCUUACUUUCAUUUUCUCAUGUAUCUGUAACCUGGAAAACUAUUAACAUGGUUUUAUUACCAUAUCUUGUACCCUUGCCAGGUGUCCUGAGUCAGCUUUAGUCCCCACCUCUGCCUUGCUCAAUCCCCAUAGCAUAUCUCCUUUACAAUAAGGAUUUCUUUAAAACACACGUUAGUGCUUCAUCAUAUUGAGGAAGCUUGCUUGUCAUCACCCUUUGUGGUCUUUCUUCCCCUGGCCCUUGUAUCCCACUUCUGCUACACAUCCUCCCCACACAAGUUCCUUUGGUUUUCUAACAUGUGGGCAGCUCGCUCUUCCUUGCUCUUUCAAUAACAGUGGGCAUGUUUAAGAAAAAGUAUGUAUUUCAUAAAAAAUGUUCAAGAUGAGAGUUAAAGGCAUACUGAGACUCUUAUUAUAUCUUAAAUUCCUAUUAAAUCUUAAAUUCUAAUGUUGGAUUGUUUGAAACAGGGAAGGAGACCUGAACCCAUGAUAUAAGGAUGUAUGCUGAGAGGUACAGAUCAAGGUUCAUCCACCUAUGCGUAGCUAUCCAAUUCAGACAUUAUGUGUCAUAGAUACUGUCUCUUCAAUAUGCACUGUUGGCAUCAUUGUGAAAAAUCUGGUGGCUAUAGGAGUGUGGGCUUAUAUCUGGGUCCUCUUUUAAAAUAUGACUUUAGUUUCAUGGGUUUAUAUCUGAAUCCUCUAUUCUAUUCUAUUGAGCUGCUGCAUGUUUCUGUGCUAGUACCAUGCUGUUUGGAUCACUAUGUCUCUGUAGUAUACUACAGUUUUAGGCCAGGUGACUGAGGCACCCAUUGUUCCACAUGAGAAUCGGACAGAGUUCCAAGAGUCCACUGGCAUCAACAUCCCGUGUAUUCCAUGUGAAAGCAAGAAUUGAGGAUAAGACAACUUUAGGAAACAUCAAUGAGGAGAACAAAAUAGAGUCUUGUCAAGUGUGACGAGAUUAUCUGAUGAUUGGAUGGAAAUCGUACUGCACUGUAGGAUUAGCAGCAUCAGACAAUGGGGGACUAGACUACUCAGUUGUUGGUGACAUAUGAGGCAGAAUACCUGGGGCCCUGGGCUUCUCUCUUGGGGGAGCUCCCCUAUGGUGGUGUUUUAGGACCCACUAAGGAACAAAUUGCUGAAGGAAAUCUAAGUAGAGAUAUAGUAUUCUUCAGGAGAAAUAUUUUUGUUGGAUCUCAAUCCACCAAGUUCCAGGCAGUUGAGCUGCUACAGUAAUUUCCUGGACACUCCAGAUCCUUGGAUAUUGACCACCUUUACAGGGAAAAAAAAGAAUGAUGUGUUCUGUAAGCAUUGAGCAAGGCAUAGAAAAUGUAAUGUCUUAAAUGAAACUGUUUCAGAUCUGCACACAAAUGUGGACAUUUUAAGUGCAUCCCUCUGCUGAUUCAAUAUUAUGAAAACAUCUUUUACAUUCUGAGAGACAGGAACUUUUGCUGGAUCUUAGAGACAGAGUUAAUAACACAUGUUGAUGUCCUGUUAUACUUAAAUCUCUAUCCUACUCUGUACUCAGGAUUUGUUUAAUUUGCCUUUAAGAGAACAAUGUAACACUUGGGUGGUGGUGGUACAUAGCUUUAAUCCCAGCACUCUAGAGGCAGAGACAGGCUUGAGGCCAACCCGGUCUACAGCCAAAGCUACACAGAGAAACCCUGUCUUAACACAACACACAUACACAUACACCACACACACACACACACACCCCAAAGAAACACACAAACAAGAACAAUGUAACAGCCAUCUUUACUUGCCUCAGGUUUCCCAUGUCAUCAGGUUUUACAACCCAAGCUAAUGUGUAGCUGUGAUCUUAAGUCACACACUCAGCCGUGCCCUUGAUCUGGAGUAAUGCUUGCAUGUAUGUAUGCUAUGAUAUCAAAUAUAGGUAGAAAGCAUUCUUAUAAAAUGAACACCCAUUGUAACUGUUGAAGACAAUUUAUGGAUAUUGCUUGAUAAAUAAUAAUGUUUGCUGUACUGUUAUCUGAGUUAGUGGGGUCAUUUGGAGUCAGUGACUUAAUCUUUUGUGUAUUUCAAUACAGUAUCUUUCAUUCCUUCCCCAAUAUGUUGUUUUCUGUGCUGUUCAAUAAAAGAGAGAACAAAGCCCUUAGUUAAGAUCUCUCUCUCUCUCUCUCUCUCACACACACACACACACACAAACACACACACACACACACUGGGAACUGUUUGCUGCUUCUCCAAAGCAGAGAAAAAGAAGAGAAAAGCCUGCCUACCAAGGCAGGUCAGGGUCUGCUAGAAGACUUCCCAGCCUGCUGAGGCAUAGAACAACAAGAGAUAUGCUUGAGACUCAAGGUGAGGGGCUGAAGAUUCUAUUGACCUUGGUGGAAGGAAUAGGGAGGUUUUCUGGUGAGAACAAAUGUCUUGUGUGUAUAUUUUAUCAAAUUGUUUAUGUUAGCUUGAGGCUUUGCUUUCCACAGUACUGUAGUACAAAAAAGAAAAACACUCAUUGCUGAUGUGGUAAUGACCUGCAGCCCUCCCACUGUCUCUUGCAUCUUUUUUUCUAUCCUUUUUAUAAUCAACCUUACUCCCCCCUUCAGUGGACUCUGACUUCACACUGGCCAGUCCAGUACACACACACACACACACACACACACACACACACACACACACACACACACACACACACACACACACGAUGGAAAGAGAGAGAGAGAGAGAGAGAGAGAGAGAGAGAGA
rnacentral:lncRNA from 1 species